rnacentral:rRNA from 1 species
CUACGGGAGGCAGCAGUGAGGAAUAUUGCGCAAUGGGGGCAACCCUGACGCAGCGACGCCGCGUGGAUGAUGAAGGCCUUCGGGUCGUAAAAUCCUGUCAGAUGGAAAGAAAUGCCAGAUGUCUAAUAUAUGUCUGGUUUGACGGUACCAUCAAAGGAAGCACCGGCUAACUCCGUGCCAGCAGCCGCGGUAAUACGGAGGGUGCAAGCGUUGUUCGGAAUUACUGGGCGUAAAGCGCGCGUAGGCGGCUUUUUAAGUCAGAUGUGAAAGUCCACGGCUCAACCGUGGAAGUGCAUUUGAUACUGGGAAGCUUGAGUACUGGAGGGGAUGGUGGAAUUCCCGGUGUAGAGGUGAAAUUCGUAGAUAUCGGGAGGAAUACCGGUGGCGAAGGCGACCAUCUGGCCAGAUACUGACGCUGAGGUGCGAAAGCGUGGGGAGCAAACAGGAUUAGAUACCCCGGUAGUC